UUCAUGAUUAUUAAUCAAACUAGGAGAGAGAAAAUCUGAAUAAAGACCUCCAUAUCAUCCUCACCCCCUAGAAAAAUAAAAUGACUUAUGCAAUCUGAUAAUGACUUAUGCAACUGACACACACACUAAGAAAGAGAAAAAAUCAGACACAAACAUAGCAUAUUUCAAACACUAUUCAUACACUAAUGUUUUUUCAUUUUUACUUUUUUCACAUUCUGUAGUUAAUGUUGUUUUGUUCUCAUCUCUCUCUCUCUCUCUCUCUCUCUGUGCUGCUCUGUCACCCACCACCACCUCUCUUUAAUUCCCUAUGAAACCGUUGAACGUUUUUCAACUUUCACACUAGCUUCCACCACAUCUUCAUCAUGGAGUACGUGAAUUGUGAACCACAUGAUCACAAUCACAAUUCACAAUACCCUUUUGAGUUUUGAUUCUCUCUCUCUCUUUCUCUUCAUAUGUUAGUACUCUCUUUUUCUCUCUUCACCCUUUUGAAUUAUGCAUUCAUAGCAUAGCACUAUCUCUUCCUUAUACUUAAAUAUGCUUUAUAGGUGUGAAAAAUCUCUUUUACUUUUCACUUAAUUCACCAAAGUUGCAGCUUUUUUGUGUAGUUUUAUAUAAAAGUUGCUUUUUUUAGUGUAGCAUUUUGUUCAUUUUACUUGAGUUUGAAACUGGGUUUAUAACAUUGAGAGUAAAAAAAGGAACUUUUUUUGUUUUGUUUUGGGAUUUUUUAUUUUCUUGGUGUCUGCAUCAAAGGGUAAGCUAAAAUGGGGUUACUUUAGAAAUUGCUUAGUGUUGAAGUUUUUGUUAUGGGUUGGUUGGUGUGACUGUGAGAGUGGACCUGUUACAGUUAAGCUGGUCUUUAUCUUCAAUGUCAAGCCUUCUCUUAUUUUUUCAUGUUUUUGUGUAUAGUUUAAGAUGUAAUCUAGUUUCUAUUUUUGUCCUUACUAUAAUAAUUGAUUUUGUAGAUUAUUUCCAUUGAUCUAGAUUAUACUUUUUGGUUGUUUUCUGCAGGUUUGGUUUGUUUUUGAGUCUUGAGGUAAUUUUCUUAUCCUUUUUUGCUUGUUCUUCACAUUUAGAUAUAGAUGUCAAGCAUUCAUAUGUAUAAUUGAGUAGAGUAUGUAUAAUGAAAGUGGUUGAACUUAAAUGGUUAAUGAGUUUUAGUUAACAUUGAAUUAGUCGGAGUACCAAGUUUGAUUUUUGGCUGAAACAAUUAUCGAUCAGACUUUAGUUAUCUUCUGGCCAAAUUCCAGAUUACUCGGUCCAUUUUCCCUGAGAAUUGGAUGGUUAAAACAAAAAAUAUUAGUNNNN
rnacentral:lncRNA from 1 species